UUGCCUCCUCUAAACCUCCAAGGUCUCCUAGCCCUUGUCAGCAGUAAUCUGUGGAGACCACGCCCAGAGAGUGCUGCAGGACCAGUAGCCCCAGGACGACGCAACCCAUAGUCAUCCUCAUCCAAUGAGUCAAAAUCUAGGUGAAAUCCAUUGCGAUAAUGACCACUACUCUGUCCUCGAUUAAAGGAUCCCAAAGGAAAGAAACGAUCAUCCAGAGACUCAUCCGAAUCAUAAUCAUAAUCAUUAAAAAAACCAUGUCGGCCUGGCUCAAUCACAUAAUCCCCCAGCACCACAGCCCCUGGAGUUGACGACAUAAUUGUGCUGAUUACAUCAUUUCGCUCUCUCUCACAUUCAAGCUUCUUCCAUUUUUCUUCAAGAACAGGGUCCACAGCUCGGGGUCGUGCCAAUGGGUGCUUGGCCUUAACAUGCUUCCUGAGCUGUUUGUAAGUUCCAACAAAUGAGCACUUAUCUUGCAUGCAGGUUCUUUUUUUGGCAUUGAGAUACUUCCGGGCUGGUUCCACCACUGUCCAACCCUUCACCUGACCCCGACAGAGCGGGCAUAAAAGCUCUGGAACUUGCAUCUUCUCAUUAGCCUCCCCAGCUCCCAAAUGGAAACUUGAAUUGUCUGCAGACCUGUUCAAUUGUUGCGUCUCUUCAGUUGAAGUUACUUUAGUAUAGGCUUUUUUGUACUGCCCAAGACAAUUGGAAAAUCGACGACCAGUGGCACACAUAUAUGGGUGACAACCCUUGUUAUAAGAGGAACAAAGAAGGAGCACUGCAUUGUGAGGAAAUUCCAGACAAACAGAACAGGUUGCACCUUUCCAUUCACUCUUCUCCAAGGCUUUUGAAUGUUUCUUCUUUGAGUGGCAAUCUUCGGCACUUUUCCUUGGGCAAGAUGGCAAAGGAUAUGGAGUCACUCUGCGACGCUGGGAAUCAGCCUUGCACUUCACCUUACUAACUUUCCCCAUUCACAAAGUCAAGCUGGCAGAGAUAGAUAAUAAAUAAGGAGAAACCGCAGUGGGGGAUCGGGGUCUGUCUCUCUUUAUGAAAAGUUUUUGUUUUUGGAGUUGGGUCGAACAAGGAGGAGAAUUAUGGGCGGAGAGGAGGCGAAGUAGCGGCACCCGAUCUUCGCGUUACGGCAGUGACAGAUGUGUGCGUGGGGCGUUAAUUUACUUCUUUGCUUGUUCCGAUUUGUGGCGGUGACCGUACUCUAACGCCACCAUUGCGACAUUUAUGCAAAAUCUAAUCUCUCUCUCUCUCUCUCUCUCUAUCUUC
rnacentral:misc_RNA from 1 species